rnacentral:rRNA from 1 species
UACGAAGGGUGCAAGCGUUACUCGGAAUUACUGGGCGUAAAGCGUGCGUAGGCGGUAGGUGAAGUCUGCUGUGAAAUCCCUGGGCUCAACCUGGGAAUGGCGGUGGAGACUGGCAGGCUGGAGGCUGGGAGAGGGAAGCGGAAUUCCCGGUGUAGCGGUGAAAUGCGUAGAGAUCUGGAGGAACGUCAGUGGCGAAGGCGGCCACCUGGCCCAAUACUGACGCUGAGGCACGAAAGCGUGGGGAUCAAACAGG